UGUUAGUUUAAACCGCUUAAUUUGUGACUUAGCGGCAAAGUUUUCUUUCUCACGAUAUAUAUGAUUAUUUGCUACUUCUCUUGCAGGUUCACUUAAAUCUGUCACAAUGCAUUCUUCUCUUCUUGCUGCAAUUCUUCUCUCCUCUCUCCUAAAGUCAGAAAACUCUACCACAAAGAUAAUGAAUCUAGCACCAAUGGCACCCCGAUGGGCGGUUCUGAUCGGUGGAUCGUAUGGUUACGAAAACUAUAGACAUUUGGCUGAUGUUUGCCAUGCAUAACAAAUGCUGAAGAGAGGAGGAUUAAAGGAUGAGAUAUUGCUUUUUCUGAAGAGAAUCCAAGGCCGGGAACUAUAAUCAAUAAACCAAAUGGCAUUGAUGUUUACCCCAAGGAUUAUACUGGUGAAAACGUUACUAUCGACAAUUUUCUGGCUGUUAUUCUUGGAAACAAACUGCUCUCACUGGGGGCAGUGGGAAGGUUGUCAUUCUUUUCCCAACUCUUUCUAAUUGCGAUUUGCGAAACAAGACUCAUUCUCUCAAAUGAACCCAACUUGGAUGGAGCUUUGGCUGCGGCAGAGAUUGGUUUUACGAUUAUAAUUGUCCUGAAAAACGGUUGUGGAAAUUUUCGGACGGUGACUGAUGCAGUAAACAACAUUCCAAUGCCGAAUACAAAUGGAGUGAUUAUUAAAAUCAGUGGAGGUUUUAAGGUUAUAACUGUAUUUGACACUCCUUUCUGUGUUCACCUUGUGAGUUGGGAUAAAACCCCCAUCGAUUUUAAUAAUCACUCCAUUUGUAUUUGACAUGGGAAUGCUGUUUACUGCAUCAGUCACUGUUCGAAAAUUUCCACUACCGUUUUUCAUGACAGUUAUAACCUUAAAACCAACCUCUGCCGCAGCCAAAGCUCCAUCCAAGUUGGGUUCAUUUGAGAGGAUUAGUCUUGAUUCGCAAAUCGCAAUUAGAAAGAGGUUGGAAAAGAAUAAAAUUUUUGUUAACAAGGUUGCAAAAAUGAGAAACUGUUUCAUUUCUUGAGCCAUUAUUGAAAGUCUUCUUGGUGAUACAAAGAAUGAAUUGUAAUUGGAGUUUUAAUAAUAAUAUAUUUCUCAAAGUGUUAAUUUGAAAACAA